rnacentral:rRNA from 1 species
AUUGAACGCUGGCGGCAUGCCUUACACAUGCAAGUCGAACGGCAGCGGGGGAGAAGCUUGCUUUUCCUGCCGGCGAGUGGCGAACGGGUGAGUAAUACAUCGGAACGUGCCCUGUAGUGGGGGAUAACUAGUCGAAAGAUUAGCUAAUACCGCAUACGACCUGAGGGUGAAAGUGGGGGACCGCAAGGCCUCAUGCUAUAGGAGCGGCCGAUGUCUGAUUAGCUAGUUGGGGGGGUAAAGGCCUACCAAGGCGACGAUCAGUAGCUGGUCUGAGAGGACGGUCAGCCACACUGGGACUGAGACACGGCCCAGACUCCUACGGGGGGCAGCAGUGGGGAAUUUUGGACAAUAGGCGAAAGCCUGAUCCAGCAAUGCCGCGUGUGUGAAGAAGGCCUUCGGGUUGUAAAGCACUUUUGUCCGGAAAGAAAUGGCUCUGGUUAAUACCUGGGGUCGAUGACGGUACCGGAAGAAUAAGGACCGGCUAACUCUGUGCCAGCCGCCGCAGUAA